rnacentral:rRNA from 1 species
GCCUUAGUAACGGCGAGUGAAGCGGCAAAAGCUCAAAUUUGAAAUCUGGUACCUUCGGUGCCCGAGUUGUAAUUUGGAGAGGGCAACUUUGGGGCCGUUCCUYGUCUAUGUUCCUUGGAACAGGACGUCAUAGAGGGUGAGAAUCCCGUGUGGCGAGGAGUGCGGUUCUUUGUAAAGUGCCUUCGAAGAGUCGAGUUGUUUGGGAAUGCAGCUCUAAGUGGGUGGUAAAUUCCAUCUAAAGCUAAAUAUUGGCGAGAGACCGAUAGCGAACAAGUACAGUGAUGGAAAGAUGAAAAGAACUUUGAAAAGAGAGUGAAAAAGUACGUGAAAUUGUUGAAAGGGAAGGGCAUUUGAUCAGACAUGGUGUUUUGUGCCCUCUGCUCCUUGUGGGUAGGGGAAUCUCGCAUUUCACUGGGCCAGCAUCAGUUUUGGUGGCAGGAUAAAUCCAUAGGAAUGUAGCUUGCCUCGGUAAGUAUUAUAGCCUGUGGGAAUACUGCCAGCUGGGACUGAGGACUGCGACGUAAGUCAAGGAUGCUGGCAUA